UUCUCAUAAUUGUUGUGAAUUUUAACAUGAAAAAGCUAGAUGUCAGCCACGCGAAUUUGCUUAACAUGUUGAAAAAUGUUGAGAAUCACUUUCCAACCAAGAAAGACCAAGUCUAACUGAUAGGGACCAAAGAAUCUUCUAAAAAAAGAACAAUUCAAAUAAGGUAUAAGGACAGGCAAAAACAAAGAAUAAUAAGAACAAAACUGAUACGGAUAGUAAAG
rnacentral:lncRNA from 1 species